GAGGGUAGAGCUCAGUGGCAGAGCGUGUGUUUAGCAUGCACGAAGCCCUGGGUCCCUGGGUUCAAUCCCCAGUACCUCCA
rnacentral:tRNA from 1 species